rnacentral:lncRNA from 1 species
UGUACAAAACGCCUGCAGGUGUGCUCAGAAGAGGAACUCCGCAGAGUGGAGCCAAGUCUCCGACAUGGGAGAGAGGGAGACGAUCCCCUCUAGAAGCCCGGCCUGGGCUCACAGGAUCCUGUCCUGGUAUGUCCCAGUGUCCAGCAGGAACUUCUUGGGUCCAAGACAAAUCUCCAGCUUCUGGCUCCCUGCUGGGCACUAGGUAGGUGCCUGAUAAAUAUUUGCAGGAUUCUGUAAGAAUCAGAAUUCCGGUUGUGCUAUCUGAGGAGUCCGACAGAAAAGCAGAAGAGGUUAUACCAGUGGAGGGAAGGUGGUCUUGGGGUCUGAACAGUUCGUCCACUGCUGCUCAGGUAGGUGGUUUCACCCAGGGUCAGUUUUGUCUUCUGGAGAUAGGCCA